rnacentral:rRNA from 1 species
UACGUAGGGGGCGAGCGUUGUCCGGAGUACUGGGCGUAAAGCGCACGCAGGCGGUCUGCUAAGUUUGGAGUGACAGUUGGUGGCUUAACUGCCAAAGUGCUUCGAAAACUGACAGACUUGAGGGGCUUCAGAGGGACACGGAAUUCCGGGUGGAGUGGUGAAAUGCGUAGAGUAUGGACGGAGACACGAGUGGCGAAGGCAGC